GGGUUCCCGGCUGCGCCUCUGAACUCACGGUGGUGGCGCGUGUUGGGGAACGGAUGUGGGGCCGCGGCGGGGACUGACAGGAGAACGAGGCCGCAGCGCCCGUGGUCAUGCACGGACGAUGGAUAAACAUCAGCGCAGCGCGGGCCGUCCCGGAGCACGGCCCAGGCCGCAGCUGUGGCUCCGAGGGCGCCGUGAGGGCAGCGGACCCGGGUCAGGGGCGCCGCGGCCGGGGAGGCCCAGGCCGCCCUCUAGGGCCACGAGGAUAUUCAGGAACCGAGAUGAAGUCUCACUGUCACCCAGUCUGGAGUAGAGUGGCGCGAUGUUGGCUCAUUGCAGCCUCCGCCUCCUGAGCUUGAGUGAUCUUCCCACCUCAGCCUCUUGAGUAGCUGGACCACAAGUGCAUGCCUGGCCAAUUACUGUAUUUUUGGUAGAAACGGAGUUUACACCAUGUUGCCCAGGCUGGUCUCAAAACUGGCCUCCCCGGCCGCCCCGUCCGGGAGGAAGUGAGGAGCGCCUCUGCCCGGCCGCCCCGUCCGGGAAGAAGUGAGGAGCGCCUCGGCCCGGCCGCCCUGUCCGGGAAGAAGUGAGGAGCGCCUCGGCCCGGCCGCCCCGUCCGGGAAGAAGUGAGGAGCGCCUCUGCCCGGCCGCCCCGUCUGGGAAGUGAGGAGCGCCUCUGCCCGGCCGCCCCGUCCGGGAAGAAAUGAGGAGCGCCUCUGCCCGGGCGCCCCAUCCGGGAAGAAGUGAGGAGCGCCUCUGCCCGGCCGCCCCAUCCGGGAAGAAGUGAGGAGCGCCUCUGCCUGGCCACCCACCGUCUGGGAAGUGAGGAGCGCCUCUGCCCGGCCACCCACCGUCUGGGAAGUGAGGAGCGCCUCUGCCCGGCCACCCACCGUCUGGGAAGUGAGGAGCGCCUCUGCCCGGCCACCCACCGUCUGGGAAGUGAGGAGCGCCUCUGCCCGGCCACCGUCUGGGAAGUGAGGAGCGCCUCUGCCCGGCCACCGUCUGGGAAGUGAGGAGCGCCUCUGCCCGGCCGCCCCGUCUGGGAAGUGAGGAGCGCCUCUGCCCGGCCGCCCCGUCUGGGAAGUGAGGAGCGCCUCUGCCCGGCCACCCAUCGUCUGGGAAGUGAGGAGCGCCUCUGCCCGGCCACCCUGUCUGGGAAGUGAGGAGCGCCUCUGCCCGGCCACCCCGUCUGGGAAGUGAGGAGCGCCUCUGCCCGGCCACCCAUCGUCUGGGAGGUGAGGAGCGCCUCUGCCCGGCCUCCCAUCGUCUGGGAGGUGAGGAGCGCCUCUGCCCGGCCGCCCCGUCCGGGAGUAAGUGAGGAGCGCCUCUGCCCGGCCACCCCGUCCGGGAAGAAGUGAGGAGCGCCUCUGCCCGGCCGCCCUGUCCGGGAAGAAGUGAGGAGCGCCUCUGCCCGGGCGCCCCAUCCGGGAAGAAGUGAGGAGCGCCUCUGCCCGGCCACCCCAUCCGGGAAGAAGUGAGGAGCGCCUCUGCCCGGCCACCCACCGUCUGGGAAGUGAGGAGCGCCUCUGCCCGGCCACCCACUGUCUGGGAAGUGAGGAGCGCCUCUGCCCGGCCGCCCCGUCCGGGAAGAAGUGAGGAGCGCCUCUGCCCGGCCGCCCCGUCGGGAAGAAGUGAGGAGCGCCUCUGCCCGGCCGCCCCGUCGAGAAGAAGUGAGGAGCGCCUCUGCCCGGCCGCCCCGUCUGGGAGGUGAGGAGCGCCUCUGCCCGGCCACUCGUCGUCUGGGAGGUGAGGAGCGCCUCUUCCCGGCCACCCAUCGUCUGGGAGGUGAGGAGUGCCUCUGCCCGGCCACCCAUCGUCUGGGAGGUGAGGAGCGCCUCUGCCCGGCCGCCCAUCGUCUGGGAAGUGAGGAGUGCCUCUGCCCGGCCACCCAUCGUCUGGGAAGUGGGGAGCGCCUCUGCCCGACCACCCAUCGUCUGGGAAGUGAGGAGCGCCUCUGCCCGGCUACCUAUCGUCUGGGAAGAAGUGAGGAGCGUCUCUGCCUGGCCGCCCCGUCUGGGAAGUGAGGAGCCCCUCUGCCCGGCCGCCCCGUGUCUGGGUAGAAGUGAGGAGCUCCUCUGCCUGGCCGCUCCGUCUGGGAGGUCUACCACGGAGGCCAGAAGCAAUGUGGGGGCUGGAUGUGGUGGCUCACGCCUGUGGUCCCGGCACUCUGGGGGACAAGGCGGGUUGAUCACUUCGCGCUAGGAGUUCGAGACCAGUCUGGCCAACUUGGCGAAACAUGAAGAAUACAACAGACAAACCAACCAACCAACUCAAUGACAACAAAACAGGUCUACCCUGGAGUCAUACUCUAAUUUUUUCUAUUUUCCUUUCUUUCUGAUCCUUUAUCCCACUUUCUUUUUCUUCCUCUUCCUUCUCCCUCUUCUUUGUCAAAUAGAGGAUUGAGUUAUUAUCACUGAUCCAUAUAAAGUCCCUCUCUCAUUUAUUUUAACUCCCACCCCCAUUUCUAUUCCCCAACUUCCCAUGUGCAGCCUUACUAAUAUGUUUGAUACGCAUCUCUUUGUUUGUAUGUAUUUUUAGAAAAUGUUUAUGUUUUUGUAUACAAAAAAAAUUAAUUAAAAAAAAAAAAAAAAAAAAAAA